AAGGUUGGAAAAGACCCACAGGAUCAUCCAGUCCAACCAUUCGCCCUUCACCAAUGGUUCUCGCUAAACCAUGUCCCUCAACACAACAUCCAAACGCUCUUUGAACACCACCAGGCUCGGUGACUCCACCACCUCCCUGGGCAGCCCAUUCCAGUGCCUGUCCACCCUUUCAGAGAAGUAGGAUUUCCUAACAUCCAACAUGAAUCUUCCCUGGCGCAGCUUGAAGCCAUUCCUUCUAGUCCUAUCACUAGUCACCCGAGAGAAGAGGCUGACCCCCAGCUCACUACAACCUCCCUUCAGGUAGUUAUAGAGAGCAAUAAGGUCUCCCCUGAGCCUCCUCCUCUCCAGACUGAACAUGAGCCAGCAGUGUGCCCAGGUGGCCAAGAAGGCCAAUGGCAUCCUGGCUUGUAUCAGAAAUAGUGUGGCCAGCAGGAACAGGGAAGUAAACCCUGUACUCAGCACUGGUGAGGGCGCAACUUGAGUACUGUGUCUGGUUUUGGGCCCCUCACUGUAAGAAAGACAUCGAGGCCCUGGAGCGUGUCCAGAGGAGGGCAACAAAGCUGGUGAGGGGUCUGGAGCACAGGCCUUAUGACGAGCAGCUGAAGGAGCUGGGAAUGUUCAGUCUGGAGAAGAGGAGGCUCAGGGGAGACCUUAUUGCUCUCUAUAACUACCUGAAGGGAGGUUGUAGUGAGCUGGGGGUCAGCCUCUUCUCUCAUGUGACUAGUGAUAGGACUAGAAGGAAGGGCUUCAAGCUGCACCAGGGAAGAUUCAGGCUGGACGUUAGGAAAUACUACUUCUCUGAAAGGGUGGUCAGGCACUGGAAUGGGCUGCCCAGAGAGGUGGUGGAGUCACCGAGCCUGGUGGUGUUCAAAGAGCGUUUGGAUGUUGUGUUGAGGGACAUGGUUUAGCGAGAACCAUUGGUGAAGGGCGAAUGGUUGGACUGGAUGAUCCUGUGGGUCUUUUCCAACCUUAGCGAUUCUAUAAUUCUAUGAAAAGCUCUAAAUCUCAUAAGAGCUCUUCUGUUGAUAGUACGUGAGAUGGUGCAAGACCUACUUCUUGCAAAAAGAUAAAGUUAUUCCACAGAGAUAGGAAUUAGGCAAAUAAGCAGUAGUAUACUCUGUUCUAGAAAGUCUAACUUUCUGCUCUGUUACUUGG
rnacentral:lncRNA from 1 species